AUGAGUAUCCUAAUGUGGAACAGCCAGGGGGGGGACCAUCGUACAUUUCGUGAGGUGUUGGCCCUCUCAAAAGCCAAUUCCCCGGGGCUGAUUUUCCUAUCAGAAACACGUCAAGCCUCUAGUCAGAUGGAAAAGCUUAAAAGGAGACUAAAUAUGAAGGGUUUUGCUGGUGUAUCUAGUGCUAGUCUUAGUGGGGGGCUUGUAUUAUUUUGGGAUGAAAACUUGCAAGUAACCGUGCUUGAUUCCUGCGCACGGUAUAUUGAUGUAAGAAUUGUCGAUAAUGCUAAUGACAAAACAUGGAGAACUACCUUCGUGUACGGAGAACCGAGGGUGGAGCACCGACAUUGUAUGUGGAGUGCACUAUCAAACCUACGGGCGGCCUCGUCUGACCCAUGGCUGGUUUGUGGUGAUUUCAACGAAGCAAUGUGGCAACAUGAACACUUUUCUCGGUCGCCUCGGUCUGAAAACCAAAUGCUCCUCUUCCGAGUUUGUUUGGAAGAUUGCAAACUUAUGGACUUGGACUUCUCAGGGAACUCGUUCACAUAUGAUAAUGGACAGCAGGGCGGGAGGAAUGUUCAUGUUCGUCUAGACAAAGCGUGUGCGGAUGAAGCUUUGAGGGAAAUCUUCCCGUUUGCGCAAGUGGUGCAGUUGGCAUCCUCGUGCUCCAAAUGCUCCCAUCAUGGUUCGACUAGCUCUUGCAGAACCACAGCGCAAUAA
rnacentral:rRNA from 1 species